CCUACGGGAGGCAGCAGUGGGGAAUAUUGGACAAUGGGGGGAACCCUGAUCCAGCGACGCCGCGUGCGUGAAGAAGUAUUUCGGCAUGUAAAGCUCUAUCAGCAGGGAAGAAAGAAAUGACGGUACCUGACUAAGAAGCCCCGGCUAACUACGUGCCAGCAGCCGCGGUAAUACGUGGGGGGCAAGCGUUAUCCGGAUUUACUGGGUGUAAAGGGAGCGUAGACGGUUAGGCAAGUCUGGAGUGAAAGGCGGGGGCCCAACCCCCGGACUGCUUUGGAAACUGUAUAACUGGAGUGCAGGAGAGGUAAGUGGAAUUCCUAGUGUAGCGGUGAAAUGCGUAGAUAUUAGGAGGAACACCAGUGGCGAAGGCGGCUUACUGGACUGUAACUGACGUUGAGGCUCGAAAGCGUGGGGAGCAAACAGGAUUAGAUACCCUAGUAGUC
rnacentral:rRNA from 1 species